UGAAAGCAUCUAAGUGUGAAACUCGCCUCGAGAUGAGAUUUCCCAUCUGAAAAGAGUAAGACCCCUCAGAGAUGAUGAGGUAGAUAGGCUAGAAGUAGCAGUGGUGUGAACCAUGGAGCGGACUAGUACUAAUCGGUCGAGGACUUAACCA
rnacentral:rRNA from 1 species